ACCACAUUUUAUACAGAUCGAACUUUAUACAACAUACUUUAACAGUUAGCUUGCAUUCAGUGUGCACGCAUAUGCAUCCCUAUACACACAUGAAAAUAACACACAAAGCCAAUUACAUCCUUGCUCUUACCCUGGACGUAACUGCUUUCUUUCUGUACCUGGUUAUAUGUCAUUUCUACUGAGCAUUCACACUUAUUUUAAAAAAUCUAACCAAGAGACCAAAAUGAGGGAGAGAGUCCUUGAAACAAAUGCACUCAAUUCUAUGUGCAUGGAAUGCA
rnacentral:lncRNA from 1 species